GACGAACGCUGGCGGCGCGCUUAACACAUGCAAGUCGAGCGAGAACCAGUCCUUCGGGACUGGGGAAAGCGGCGAACGGGUGAGUAUCACGUGGGUAAUCUGCCCUCGGCACUGGGAUAGCCCGGGGAAACCCGGAUUAAUACCGGAUAGCCUCUCGAGCCUUCGGGCUCGUCAGAAAAGGUUGCUUCGGCUUCCGGCUGAGGAUGAGCCCGCGGCGGAUUAGCUUGUUGGUGGGGUAAUGGCUCACCAAGGGGACGAUCCGUAGCUGGUCUGAGAGGACGAUCAGCCACACUGGGACUGAGACACGGCCCAGACUCCUACGGGAGGCAGCAGUGGGGAAUCUUGCGCAAUGGGCGAAAGCCUGACGCAGCGACGCCGCGUGCGGGAAGAAGGCCUUCGGGUUGUAAACCGCUUUCAGGAGGGACGAAGCCACUCGGGUUAAUAGCCCAGAGGGUGACGGUACCUCCAGAAGAAGCCCCGGCUAACUACGUGCCAGCAGCCGCCGUAA
rnacentral:rRNA from 1 species